rnacentral:rRNA from 1 species
GACGAACGCUGGCGGCGUGCUUAACACAUGCAAGUCGAACGGAAAGGCCCUGCUUUUGUGGGGUGCUCGAGUGGCGAACGGGUGAGUAACACGUGAGUAACCUGCCCUUGACUUUGGGAUAACUUCAGGAAACUGGGGCUAGUACCGGAUAGGAGAUCCUGCUGCUUGGUGGGGGUUGGAAAGUUUCGGCGGGUGGGGAUGGACUCGCGGCUUAUCAGCUUGUUGGUGGGGUAGUGGCUUACCAAGGCUUUGACGGGUAGCCGGCCUGAGAGGGUGACCGGCCACAUGGGGACUGAGAUACGGCCCAGACUCCUACGGGAGGCAACAGUGGGGAAUAUUGCACAAUGGGCGGAAGCCUGAUGCAGCAACGCCGCGUGCGGGAUGACGGCCUUCGGGUUGUGAACCGCUUUCGCCUGUGACGAAGCGUGAGUGACGGUAAUGGGUAAAGAAGCACCGGCUAACUACGUG